ensembl:snoRNA SNORD116 Small nucleolar RNA SNORD116
GGAUCAUGAUGACACCCCCACAUGCAUUCCUUGGAAAAUCUGAACAAAAUGAGUGAGAACUCACUACCGUCUCCUCAUCAAACUGAGGUCC